ensembl:lncRNA
GGCCCCUGAAACGUCUAUACAUUGCCUUGCUCGGUAAUAUACAAAGAAGAAAUACAACUAUGCAGACUCAAAUGAAUUCCAGGAAUGUGAGGCUUUUGAGGUUGUUGAAGAUAGAUUGCUCUACCCUGGAAGACCCUCCGGAGGGCUAUGGCUUUAGCUGUAUUAUGCCAUGCUUUAUCAUGUUGGUACACAGCCAGGAGCUGUGCCACUCUUUGGUGUUGGCAUAAGGCUUUUCACUUCUCCAGUGAGUUCUGCAGGGGGCAGCACAAAAGGAGUUAAAAAUCUGGGCUUGAAAAAGUUAAUACAUUGUUCUGAGUGCCAAAGUGUUACAAAGUCAUCUGUUCUAAAAGACGAAUGUCAGGGAAAGUAUUUAUAUGCAUUAUAUGCUGGUUUUCGGGGUGUGGAGGACAGUGAAAAGGGACAAGCCUUUCCCUGAACUCACUACGCAGCCAAAGAUAAACUUCAAUUUCUGGUCUCUCUGCUUCUAUCUCCCAAGUGCUAGGAUUACAGGUUUCGCUUAACAUUCUGUUGUAUACAGCCCAAUCCCAGAGAGUUUUGUAUACAUGCUAGGCACGCUACCAAAUAUGCUGCAUCCCCAGCUCACACAGUAUGUUUGAAUUACAGUUAGUAGGAAAGACAAGAAAAACAAUAAAUUGAAAAAAAAAUUCUACCCAAUUAGACAAGAUGGAUGAAGCAAAGAAGUGCAGACCGACAGGAGCCGGAUGUAGAUCACUCCUGAGAGACACAGCCAGAAUACAGCAAAUACAGAGGCGAAUGCCAGCAGCAAACCACUGAACUGAGAAUAGGACCCCCGUUGAAGGAAUCAGAGAAAGAACUGGAAGAGCUUGAAGGGGCUCGAGACCCCAUAUGAACAACAAUGCCA